rnacentral:rRNA from 1 species
CCCUAUGGGGUGCAGCAGGCCGGCAGGGGCGGGCAAUACCAGCUUGUCCAGGAAACUCAUACCCUUUUUCCCAAAGAGAUCAGAAACCUGGGGCAACUCCAAAUCAUGCUGGGCGCCCAGCAGACGGUGAAUCCGGUUGCGCAGCAUCGUGCGUUGCCGAACGAAAAAACAACGCUGCCGUAAGACUUCCUUGCGCUGGCGAGUGGCCUUGCACGGAAUGUGAACGGCACAAAUCAACCCAGCCCGCAGCAGCAGCGCCAGGAUCCGCGCGUCGACCUUGUCGGUCUUGACCUGGGCCUCGGCAAUGAUCCGGGUCGUAAAUGAAUUGGCGGGAGGGC